UACGUAGGGGGGCAAGCGUUGUCCGGAAUCAUUGGGCGUAAAGCGCGUGUAGGCGGCCCGAUAAGUCCGCUGUGAAAGUCCAGGGCUCAACCCUGGAAUGCCGGUGGAUACUGUCGGGCUCGAGUCCGGAAGAGGCGAGUGGAAUUCCUGGUGUAGCGGUGAAAUGCGCAGAUAUCAGGAGGAACACCGAUGGCGAAGGCAGCUCUCUGGGACGGUACUGACGCUGAGACGCGAAAGCGUGGGGAGCGAACAGG
rnacentral:rRNA from 1 species